AAGUCGGACGGACACCUUCGGGUGUCAGUGGCGGACGGGUGAGUAACGCGUAGGAAUCUACCUCUGGGAGGGGGAUAACAGCUGGAAACGGCUGCUAAUACCCCAUACAGGCGCGAGCUGAAAGGAGCAAUCCGCCUAGGGAUGAGCCUGCGUCGGAUUAGCUAGUUGGUGGGGUAAUGGCCUACCAAGGCGACGAUCCGUAGCGGGUCUGAGAGGAUGGCCCGCCACACUGGGACUGAGACACGGCCCAGACUCCUACGGGAGGCAGCAGUGGGGAAUUUUCCGCAAUGGGCGAAAGCCUGACGGAGCAAUACCGCGUGAGGGAGGAAGGCCUUCGGGUUGUAAACCUCUUUUCUGGGGGACGAA
rnacentral:rRNA from 1 species